rnacentral:rRNA from 1 species
UACGAAGGGGGCUAGCGUUGCUCGGAAUCACUGGGCGUAAAGCGCACGUAGGCGGCUCGUUAAGUCAGGGGUGAAAUCCUGGAGCUCAACUCCAGAACUGCCUUUGAUACUGGCGAUCUUGAGUUCGGGAGAGGUGAGUGGAACUGCGAGUGUAGAGGUGAAAUUCGUAGAUAUUCGCAAGAACACCAGUGGCGAAGGCGGCUCACUGGCCCGAUACUGACGCUGAGGUGCGAAAGCGUGGGGAGCAAACAGG